UGCAGUCGAACGAGGUAUCAAUACCUAGUGGCGCACGGGUGAGUAACGCGUGGAUAAUCUGCCCUUCACUGGGGAAUAACUAAUCGAAAGGUUAGCUAAUACCGCAUGAGGCCACAGUUUCUGAGGAAGCAUUGGUUAAAGAUUUAUUGGUGAAGGAUGAGUCUGCGUGGGAUUAGCUAGUUGGUGAGGUAAUGGCUCACCAAGGCUACGAUCUCUAACAGGUCUGAGAGGAUGACCUGUCACACUGGAACUGAGACACGGUCCAGACUCCUACGGGAGGCAGCAGUAGGGAAUAUUGCGCAAUGGACGAAAGUCUGACGCAGCGACGCCGCGUGAGUGAUGAAGGCCUUAGGGUCGUAAAGCUCUGUUGCAGGGGAAGAAAAAAAUGACGGUACCCUGCGAGAAAGGAUCGGCUAACUUCGUGCCAGCAGCCGCGGUAAGACCAGGGAUCCUAGCGUUGUUCGGAAUCAUUGGGCGUAAAGCGCACGUAGGCUGCCAUUCAAGUCAGUUGUGAAAGCCCCGGGCUCAACCCGGGAAGUGCUUCUGAUACUGUUUGGCUUGAGUACUAGAGAGGAUAGUAGAAUUCCAGGUGUAGUGGUGAAAUACGUAGAUAUCUGGAGGAAUACCGGU
rnacentral:rRNA from 1 species